rnacentral:rRNA from 1 species
ACUACGGGGGGCAGCAGUCGAGAAUCAUUCACAAUGGGGGAAACCCUGAUGGUGCGACGCCGCGUGGGGGAAUGAAGGUCUUCGGAUUGUAAACCCCUGUCAUGUGGGAGCAAAUUAAAAAGAUAGUACCACAAGAGGAAGAGACGGCUAACUCUGUGCCAGCAGCAGCGGUAAUACAGGGGUCUCAAGCGUUGUUCGGAAUCACUGGGCGUAAAGCGUGCGUAGGCUGUUUCGUAAGUCGUGUGUGAAAGGCGGGGGCUCAAACCGAGGACGGCACAUGAUACUGCGAGACUAGAGAAAUGGAGGGGUAAGCGGAAUUCGCGGUGUAGCAGUGAAAUGCGUAGAUAUCGCGAAGAACACUCGUGGCGAAGGCGGGUUCCUGGACAUUAACUGACGCUGAGGCACGAAGGCCAGGGGAGCGAAAGGGAUUAGAUACCCUGGUAGUC